GAUCCUGGCUCAGGAUGAACGCUGGCGGCGUGCCUAACACAUGCAAGUCGAACGAGAUGCGUAUCGGAAAGCUUCGGCCGGAAGAUACGUUAUCUAGUGGCGAACGGGUGAGUAACGCGUAAUCAACCUGCCCUUCAGAGGGGGACAACAGUUGGAAACGACUGCUAAUACCGCAUACGAUCCAAUCUCGGCAUCGAGACUGGAUGAAAGGUGGCCUCUAUUUAUAAGCUAUC
rnacentral:rRNA from 1 species